UUUUUGCCUCUCCUAACACCAAGCUGGGCAUAUGGUACACACCUGUACUUCCAGUUACAUGGGAGGCUGAGGCAGGAGGAU
rnacentral:miRNA from 1 species